rnacentral:rRNA from 1 species
UUUAUGGAGAGUUUGAUCCUGGCUCAGGAUGAACGCUGGCGGCGUGCCUAAUACAUGCAAGUCGAGCGAACGGACGAGAAGCUUGCUUCUCUGAUGUUAGCGGCGGACGGGUGAGUAACACGUGGAUAACCUACCUAUAAGACUGGGAUAACUUCGGGAAACCGGAGCUAAUACCGGAUAAAACCG